rnacentral:rRNA from 1 species
GACGAACCGUGCGAACGUUAUUCGGAAUCACUGGGCUUAAAAGCGCGUGUAGGCGGGCCACCACGUCGGCUGCUGAAAUCCCCCGGCUCAACCGGGGAACGGGCACCGAUACGGGUGGCCUGGAGGGGGGUAGGGGGGCCUGGAACUUCCGGUGGAGCGGUGAAAUGCGUUGAGAUCGGAAGGAACGCCCGUGGCGAAAGCGAGGCCCUGGACCGUUACUGACGCUGAGACGCGAAAGCCAGGGGAGCGAACGGG